UUCUGCCGUCCAUGGAUCUGGACCGUCCAUAUCGCAUCGUGUGUCUGCGUCUCCCACGCUCCAUCCUUCUCCACCACGCGACCACCUAAUCCCUAACCUCCCCCUGCACGUUCCUCUCUGCCGCGUUGCUCGCCCCCUGCCUCCACCGCCGACACGACCUCUCUCCGCCUCCCCUCCUCCCUUUGCCUCCACCGCCCCUCCCCCAACGUCAUCGCCACCGCCGCGCCACUCGCUCCCACGGGAUCCAGAUUCGGUGGCUGCCUCCAUCGUCGUCCAUCGCGGGUCGCGCGGCCGAGGUGGAGGUGAGGACUGAGGAGAACUUCCCUUCCCGUCUAUUCGGUUUCUCUUCUCGUCGACUCUGCUCUGUUCGUUCGACAACCAGGCGGGAACCAGAAGGCGCGGGUCCUGUUGGGCGGCCGCCAGGACUUCUUCUACUCGGCGCUCCCUUCGGUUUCCCUUCCCACCGCCGCGCCACUCGCUCCCGCGGGAUCCAGAUCCGGUGGACGUAGCUCUGGGGCCUCGACGCAGACAGCCUGGGAUCGAGAUGCUCCACCAAUGGGGGAUCGAGAGGACGACCGCUCCCCACCGGCGCAGCCCAAGCCCAAGCACUGGAGAUCCGUCCGCUCCUCUCCUGACCGCGGGAUGGGCAUUAUGAGCUUCGUACCUGAGGAAGCAGAGCGGGCAUUGAGGUCGGUGGCUUCCUAGGGUUUGCCCCCAAGCGUCGUGCCAUGUGAAUUCAUGCAGGGAGCAGGUCGGUGAAUAGCAAUUCCUUGGCUUUUCUUCUAACCGGGAUAACAGACUACAGAAAUUGGUCUUUAAUGUUUGCUUGAUGGCACAAAAGUAGCUGUAUUGAUUGGCAGAGAAAGGUUCACCAGUAUAUUAAGGAUCAAAUAAUCUGAUGUAAUCACUGCAACAAGAAUAUUCAUGUUAGCCCAUCAGAAUCUGAAGCUCAUGUGGGGGUGAGGGAUCAAGGCGCAAACCGUAUAUAACAUAUUCACGUCAAACGGAGUGUUAUUGGUGCACAGUGCCACCUGUCUGAAGCUGUCUGCAGAUUGACGUGUUUGUGCAAAAAUAUUGCACCUUUCUUUGUUACACUACAUUGUCUCUUAAUUAUUCAAUCAAUUGUAUAAAUUGUCUCUUAAUUAUUUGAAUUGUCUCUUAAUUAUUUGAAUUCUAGGAUCAAUGAGAAGGUUUGUGUUCUUUUUCUUUCCUACCUAUAUAAGAUGAAUGAUUGGUCUGUUUUCUAAAACAUAUAAAUAAAAUUUUGUUUGUUUAUUAAGGGUUGAUUGGACAACAAAGCUUAAACAUUAGAAGGAUGAAUAAAGUUGUACACUAUGACAUGUAGUUUGCAAUGGAAGGAAACCUAAUUUAUAUGCUUGAGCUUGGGUCAGGAAUUAUAGUGGUCAGUUUAGAUAUCUAUGGAUUUUUGACAUCUCCCUCCGUUUUUAUUUAGAUAUCAUAUUUGCCUUAGUGCAUAGACAAGGAUGAGAUUAACGCUGCGUUAAUCCUUGUUUUUUCUGCUCCGUGCAAUUGAUGCUGUAUCAUACUCAGUACUCACGCUCGCAUGCUCACCUGCAUGCAGAUUUAAUUUUUCGUGGAAGGAACAGAGGGAGUAUUAGUCAAUAAACAGUAAAUUUAUAGACAUUUAUAUUUUCUUGGCUCCUGGACUAUGGUGCUGCUGUUGAUCUAUGGAGUGCCGGUUGCAUUCUUGCUGAGUUGCUAUCAGGGAAGCCUAUCAUGCCAGGACGAACUGAGAGAUUGAGAUAGAUUCUGAUCAGCCGACUAUACGCUCGGUAUUUUGGCGGUGACCUGCAAAUCAUCUCGAUGGAAGGUAGUAUUAUGCCAUCAUAAUACUACCUUGAAGUGAGGAGCUGUAACGACGAGCUCGCUUUCACACAGAUGAUCAAUAUGGUCAAGGUGCGGCACAACAAUGUGGUUCCAACCAUGGCCUUGGGAGUGCAGCAGCUGAAGAAGGAGUUGGGCCGAUCAAGGAAGGUUCCAUUCGAGUUCGAUGAGAUCCACGAGUUCCUUGACCGGUUCUACAUGUCAAGGAUUGGCAUCCACAUGCUGAUAGGUUCGCAACCUUCAAACUGCUUUGUCAAGAGCUUAAUUUAUGAAGGGCAGCAUGUGGCUUUGCAUGACCCUAAACCGGAGCCUGGUGUCAUAGGCCUCAUCAAUACAAGAUUAUCCCCAAUCCAGGUGGCUCAAGCUGCUUGUGAAGAUGCCCGUUCUGUCUGUUUAAGGGAAUAUGUAUCAGCUCCUGAUAUUAACAUUUAUGGCGAUCCAAAUUUUACAUUUCCGUUAGCGAUGAAGGUGGCGGGAUACCAAGAAGCGGCCUCCCAAGAAUUUUCACGUAUCUGUACAGCACUGCAAAGAAUCCUCCUGAGCUAGAUAGACCUAAUACUGAAGGGGUAACUAUGGAGUAUCACAUCUGUUGGAGAGAAUGGCCUUCAAGAGCACAGUGAAUCGGACCCACUUACGGUUAGUUCGUGAGGUAGAAGCCAUUGGAGGAAAUGUCUCUGCAUCAGCUUCCCGUGAACAAAUGAGCUAUACCUAUGAUGCAUUAAAGAGCUAUACACCAGAAAUGGUUGAAGUUCUCAUUGACAAUGUGAGGAAUCCAGCAUUCCUUGAUUGGGAGGUCAAAGAGCAGUAUCUGACCGAGAACAAUUAUUUUGUGAUGAUUGGGGUAAUUGGGCUGCCCGGUGUAGGCAAGUCAACCAUCAUGAACGAGCUUUAUUAAUAUGAUGCAAGCUACCUGUGGUAACGAAAGAGAUGCCAAGUGCGCUGAGGAUGCAGAGGCCAGAACAUACAUACAGUUCCCAUUUUCUGAACACAAACCAAUGGCACCGUCGAAUUCAGAAAGAGCAGAAAGCAAGUUCUUUUUUUAACUUUCUUUCUGAUUUGGCUGGUAUGAUGAUGUCUGUAGCACCUGUGAUUAACUUCUGCAUUAGGAGGGUGUCCAAUAUUUUUUCUUUCUAGAUAAACUUUUAAACCCUUUGGGCACAGGGAAUGGAAGUGAGUACUAAGAACAGAGCAAGUGAUAUUUAUGUUUCUAGAUAAACAGGCGUGAGGCGUGGAGUAAAAACAGAGGAGGUAAAGAAAGGGCCUUCAAUCGUGAGGCAUUCAUUUUGAUUGUUCGAAA